AGUGAACGCUGCGGUAGGCCUAACACAUGCAAGUCGCACGGCAGCACAGUAAGAGCUUGCUCUUACGGGUGGCGAGUGGCGGACGGGUGAGGAAUACAUCGGAAUCUACUUUUUCGUGGGGGAUAACGUAGGGAAACUUACGCUAAUACCGCAUACGACCUACGGGUGAAAGCAGGGGAUCUUCGGACCUUGCGCGAUUGAAUGAGCCGAUGUCGGAUUAGCUAGUUGGCGGGGUAAAGGCCCACCAAGGCGACGAUCCGUAGCUGGUCUGAGAGGAUGAUCAGCCACACUGGAACUGAGACACGGUCCAGACUCCUACGGGAGGCAGCAGUGGGGAAUAUUGGACAAUGGGCGCAAGCCUGAUCCAGCCAUACCGCGUGGGUGAAGAAGGCCUUCGGGUUGUAAAGCCCUUUUGUUGGGAAAGAAAAGCAGCAGGUUAAUACCCCGCUGUUCUGACGGUACCCAAAGAAUAAGCACCGGCUAACUUCGUG
rnacentral:rRNA from 1 species